rnacentral:rRNA from 1 species
CUUGGUCAUUUAGAGGAAGUAAAAGUCGUAACAAGGUUUCCGUAGGUGAACCUGCGGAAGGAUCAUUAUCGUACAAAAUGUGAGAGGGGCAUGCGAGGGCUGUCGCUGACUCAAAGUCGUGCACGCCCGAGUGUGUCGCCUCACAUAAUAAUCCAUCUCACCCUUUGUGCAUCACCGCGUGGGCACCCCUUUGGGAUCAUCUCGGAGGGGGCUCGCGUUUUCACACAAAACCCCCCUUUUAAAAGUGUAGAAUGACCUCAUUUAUGCGCUAACCCGCAAUCAAUACAACUUUCAACAACGGAUCUCUUGGCUCUCGCAUCGAUGAAGAACGCAGCGAAAUGCGAUACGUAAUGUGAAUUGCAGAAUUCAGUGAAUCAUCGAAUCUUUGAACGCACCUUGCGCCCCCUGGUAUUCCGAGGGGCACACCCGUUUGAGUGUCGUGAAAACCUCAACCUCCUUGGUUUCUUCUGGAGACCAAAGCAGGCUUGGACUUUGGAGGCCUUUGCUGGCACCUCUCGCCAGCUCCUCUUAAAUGAAUUAGCAGGGUCCUCUUUGCUGAUCCUCGACGUGUGAUAAGAUGUUUCCAUGUCUUGGUUUCUGGCUCUGUCACCUUUGGGACCCGCUUCUAACCGUCUUCAACCUUGCGUUGAGACAACGUUCGAGCAUGUCUCCCUUCUCGGGAAGCUCCCUCGACCCCACGAACCCUUGACCUCAAUCGGGUGAGACUACCCGCUGAACUUAAGCAUAUCAAUAAGCGGAGGA